rnacentral:rRNA from 1 species
UACGGAGGAUCCAAGCGUUAUCCGGAAUCAUUGGGUUUAAAGGGUCCGUAGGCGGUUUGGUAAGUCAGUGGUGAAAGCCCAUCGCUCAACGGUGGAACGGCCAUUGAUACUGCCAGACUUGAAUUAUUAGGAAGUAACUAGAAUAUGUAGUGUAGCGGUGAAAUGCUUAGAGACUACAUGGAAUACCAAUUGCGAAGGCAGGUUACUACUAAUGGAUUGACGCUGAUGGACGAAAGCGUGGGUAGCGAACAGG